rnacentral:rRNA from 1 species
GCCCAGCUGUAACAAAACAAUUAAAUAACAAAUUGUUCGCCAAAUAACUACGAGUAAAAACUUAAAAUUUAAAAGACUUGACGGUACUUCACAUCAACCUAGAGGAGCCUGUCUAAUAACCGAUAAUCCACGAUUAACCCAACCCUAUCUAGCCUAACAGUCUAUAUACCGCCGUCGCCAGCUUACCUUGUGAAAGAAAUAAAGUAAGCAUAAUAACACUACAUUAAUACGACAGGUCGAGGUGUAACUAAUGAUAAGGAAAUAAGAUGGGCUACAUUUUCUAACCCAGAAAACACGGAUAAGCUAUGAAAAUAAAAACUGAAGGAGGAUUUAGCAAUAAGAUGAGAACAUAAUACCCAACUGAAAUUAAUGCAAUGAAGUGCGCACACACCGCCCGUCAUCCCUGUAAACCACAUAAAACAUAAAUAAUUACAUUAAAUUCCUUUAAAGCAGGGCAAGUCGUAACAUGGUAAGUGUACUGGAAAGUGCACUUAGAAA